GCCCGUGUGACUCAGUGGAUACAGUGUCAGCCUCGGACUGAAGGGUCUUGGGUUCGAUUCCCAGUCAAGGGCA
rnacentral:tRNA from 1 species